rnacentral:lncRNA from 1 species
CGCGCUUGCGCGCCGCCCGCUGCCCGCCGCCCGCCGCGGCUGGGAGUCCGGAGGUUUCAUCUUGUGAUGGUUUCGGUUCGGCUCUCAAAUGGAGGAUGGCUACGUUGAAGACAGCUGGGGCUGCCGCACGCCUCGGGGUUACUGUCGGGCACCCGGCGGGCGGGGCCGGCGCUGGGGCGGGGGAGGGCUUCCUCGCCCUCAGAAACCACAUUCGCAGAAACGUUUUUAACUGGCAAGGUUUCGAGUUCCCAACCACAGCACCCUCAGUGAUGGUUUUCAGAAGACCUUGUUAGCUCCUCUCCUCCAGAGACCCAUCCUUCGCUGACAUCCCACCGAUUUGGGAGCAGGAAAAAACAGACUCCUGCAAAAUACCUCUUCUUCCAGUGCCCUGUACCCCUCUCUACUUACUUCGAGUCCCUGCAGUCCAGCAACAACCCCAAACGAGUGAAGGGAGGAGACAUAGGUUUGUCCAGGCUCUGCCACCGACGGGUGAUUUGGGAUGAGUCCUUCUCCAGUAUCAUUAUCUUCAACUGUAAAACAUGAGGGUUAGUCCGAAUGAUCUCCAAACGCUUCAGCAUUAAAGUUAGGUGAUGAAUCCUAAGAUUUUGCAGUUCUAUAAUGUCACAUCUCCUCCGUUUCAGAGAGGGCCCGCAGGGAAUCUUGUUAAGGAUAACUGCCAUCGAAGUUACAAGUUUGUUCUGUGAUUGAAGAGUUUCAGGUCUUCUAGAUUUCUUUGGCAUGACGCAUAACUAUUUCAAGAUACUAACAUUUGGGCAGGGCGUGGUGGCUCAGGCCUGUAGUCCUAACACUUUGGGGGGCCGAGGCGGGCAGAUCACCUGAGGGUAGGAGUUAGAGACCAGUCUGGCCAACAUGGUGAAACCCCGUCUCUACUAAAAAUACAAAAAUUAGCCGGGCGUGGCGGUACAUGCCUGUAAUCCCAGCUACUCAGGAGGCUAAGGCAGAAGAAUCGCUUGAAUCCAGGAGGCGGAGGUUGCAGUGAGCUGAGAUCACGCCACUGCACCCCAGCCUGGGCAACAGAGGGAGACUCCUUCUGAAAAAAAAAAAAAAAAAAAGAUACUAACAUUUAAGGUUAAGAAUGUAGGUCAUUUCCCCAGAGGACUAACAGACUCGAGGGCACACACCCCAAAUUUUAUUUCUUUGACUCUGUCAUUGCCCCCAGAACAGUAUAUAAUGUAGCCAAUUGUUGUGGAUUUAUUGUUAAUGAAUAAAAUAAAAUUUGUGACUAGCAGGGAUAGGGGUCCUAUGCUGUCAUUUUAAUAUGAAUAGAGUUUUUAAAAACUCACAGAUAAAUG